CUCAGUGGUCUGCCCGAACGCCUCGUUGGCUUCGCCGUGCGGCAACUGAUCGAUGCGCACGAUCUGGACGGUCAGGUUGUCGGUGCUGCCUUUCAGAUAGGCCUGCUCGACAACCCGUUUCUCAUCGGCGUUGUCGUGAAUGGCUUUCGCGAUGAAGCGGUCGCCGACAUGCUCAUAGGCGCCGUCGGUUGCGAGCAGGAACACAUCGCCCUUUUCGAUCGGCAGCGCCUGAUAGUCGAUUUCGAUUUGCGGAUUGAUUCCCAGCGCG
rnacentral:misc_RNA from 1 species